CUGAUCAGCCAUGCCGCGUGAGUGAUGAAGGCCUUCGGGUUGUAAAGCUCUUUUGUCAGGGAAGAUAAUGUCUGUGCUAAUACCAUAAGCCCCUGACAGUUCCUGGACAAUAACCACCGGCUUACUACGUGCCAUCACCUUCUUCAAUACUUAUGGUGCAUAGCGUUAAUCUAAAUUACUGGGCGUAUAGCGUGUGAAAGCCCUUAUCUCAGACUGAUAUCUAAUCCCCAGACUCAACCUCUGAACUGCAUUUGAGACUGCUUGACUUCCGUGUGGAAAAGUGAAAUUCAAUUACAUGUGUAGCAAUGCCAUGCGUAAAUGUGCCUAGCAACACCGAUAGUGAAGCUAAUCCCCUGAACCUGGACUGACACUCAUGAUCAAAUGCCUGGGUAGCCCACACGAUUAAAUACCCUGGCAGUCCACCCCCUAAACUAUGUCUACUGGUUGUUGCUAAGGUUUCUUCUCUUCCACCUGGCUAACACGUGCACUUGACCGCCAGUCGAGUAAGUCCACAGGGUUGAAACUC
rnacentral:rRNA from 1 species